UCCCAUUCUCUAGACUCUUUGAGAUAACAAAGAUUUGCUCUUUGUCACCUUUAAUCUCCUUCUUGAGAAGUACUAGAAGCAUCUCAGUUGCCUGCAGCUUAGUAGGGUUCAACGUGGAGAGGAAGAUCUGCAAGAACCAGAUAGGCAUCAGCCAUGAGUACCAUGAAGAGGUAGCUCACAGAUACUGUGUGUACCGCAACAUGGUGCACCACAUCGCCGGGGAGUUCACCACAUUGCUUGACCUGGAAGGAUGUCUUCUUCCAGGUCAGGAUUAUCGGUCAGAGACAAACCACCAGUUUCUUCAUAGUUCAGAAUUACAUAGAAACUACUAA
rnacentral:lncRNA from 2 species